rnacentral:rRNA from 1 species
CAUGCAAGUCGAACGCUGAAGCACUCUGCUUGCAGAGUGCGGAUGAGUGGCGAACGGGUGAGUAACACGUGGGGAAUCUGCCUAGGAGUGGGGGAUAACAUUCGGAAACGGAUGCUAAUACCGCAUAUCUUCUUAGACCGCAUGGUCUAUGAAUGAAAGACGGCUUUGCUGUCGCUCUUAGAUGAUCCCGCGGCGUAUUAGUUAGUUGGUGGGGUAAAGGCCUACCAAGACAAUGAUACGUAGCCGACCUGAGAGGGUGAUCGGCCACACUGGGACUGAGACACGGCCCAGACUCCUACGGGAGGCAGCAGUAGGGAAUCUUCCACAAUGGGUGCAAACCUGAUGGAGCAAUGCCGCGUGAAUGAAGAAGGUCUUCGGAUCGUAAAGUUCUGUUAUUAGUGAAGAACAAAUCGAGGAGUAACUGUCUCGAUUUUGACGGUAACUAACCAGAAAGUCACGGCUAACUACGUGCCAGCAGCCGCGGUAAUACGUAGGUGACAAGCGUUGUCCGGAAUUAUUGGGCGUAAAGGGAGCGCAGGCGGUUGGAAUAGUCUGAUGUGAAAGCCCACGGCUUAACCGUGGAAGGUCAUUGGAAACUGUCCAACUUGAAUGCAGAAGAGGUAAGUGGAAUUCCAUGUGUAGCGGUGAAAUGCGUAGAUAUAUGGAGGAACACCAGUGGCGAAGGCGACUUACUGGUCUGUAAUUGACGCUGAGGCUCGAAAGCGUGGGUAGCGAACAGGAUUAGAUACCCUGGUAGUCCACGCCGUAAACGAUGAGUGCUAAGUGUUGGAGGGUUUCCGCCCUUCAGUGCUGGAGUUAACGCAUUAAGCACUCCGCCUGGG